GUCCGAGGGCGGCGGCCCGGAGCUGGCCGCGCGGGGCGGGCUCCAGGCAGGCGCGGCGAGCGGGGGGCGCCUGAGGAGGCCGGAGCCACUGACCCACCAGGCCCGGGGACGCGGCCGUGGGGCGUGAAACGCUUCUUGCGAACGAUGGAACGAUACUAUCAACGCCUUCUUAAUAUGCCGCCAGAUAGGGGAAUUAAUUCCUCAGAAGUCUUUCGUAUCACAAGGUGUUCCAGAAUGUUUCGUUGGCCGAAGAGAAGGGGCCCUGGCCUGGCCUGCACUCGGGAAUCGGCUGGUGACGGCCUCACCUGUCGGCCAGGAAAAAUGAGGCUUGAAAAUGGGCCAGAGUCAUCCUCUGCCGAUGAAAUUUGUCAAGGAGUCACCGCCAUCUCAAAUGUCCAGAAACGCAAGCUGCUCCCGCGAGGACGGUCCUAUCUGGGGCACGUCAGACGGGGAGACGGGGAAGGUGAGGACGCAGAGGGCGGACCGCCCGCCCUGCCGCGGGGCCAGGCCCUGGGCGCGGGGACGGCAGCUGGUCCCUGUCCCUCAGGAGAGCAGUGCCCACCAGCCGCCCGGAAGGGCCGGGCGCACGGGGGCUGCUGCAGGCGCAUGCGGGUUCUGACCACGCCGUGACUCCCCGCGCCGUCUGGAGCUGACUGCCCUGCCCUUGGGGCCUCGUCUCCACCUCGAAGGGCAUGGCUCGCCCCUCUUGAACCCUGCGCAGGGACCCUGGAAGAAGACACUGGAUCGAAGUUAGAGACGCUCUGGCAGCCUCCGCUGCUUUGUGCUCCAGGCCGGGGUCCUCAGCCUCAGACCGCGCUGGGCAGAGCAGCCGUGUGUGCUCAGGCAGGUCGCCGUGGAGUCGAGCUGCGGGGACAGGCGAGGCUCACCGGAGACAGCGGGUGUCGGUGCUUCGGCGAAGAGCGUCACACCCAGCACACGGCUGUCCAGUCCAGGGUGACCUCUCCUCCAGCCGCAGGGUCAGAGCCCCUGAAGACAAAGGCUCACAAAGGGGCAGAGACUGGGGUGUGCGCCGUCCGGGUCGGACGGAGAGUGGAAGCCUGGAAAUGUGACACUCUCAUUGAUCCGCCCUCGUCGCCGUCGCCGUCACCGCGGAGCAGAGGCAGAAACGUGACUUCGAAAUCGCAAUUAGGAGCCAGCCUGCUAAGGGCGCCUCACUCCGGCGCAGGGCUGGGCGGACGGCGGGCCGCCUGCCUGUCUGGUUCCCGCCGAGGCCGGACCCCACGGGACGGCCACACACCGGGCGUCCACACUGCCCUCGAGUGUCGGUCGGGUCUUUGAGAAGAUGGCAGUUUCCUCAAUGUUUUAAAAGUACUAACUUCCUUUCAAACAUUCUCUAACCUUUAAUGUUUUGUAACUUGAUGAAAAGGUCAUUUUGUUCUGAGAACGCUGCUCUCUCGUAAUUGUUCAGCUACUGGGGUGAGUUCCAUCCAAAUCCCGGAUCUCUGAGGGGGCCCAACCCAGUCCAUGCCCACGUGGACACACGGGCACACGUGGACACACGGGCACACGUGGACACACGGGCACACGUGCGACCUAGUUGAGUGUUUCCUGGCAUGUGCCUGUGUGCCUGCAGGGCGAGGCAGGAGCAGACAUGCAGCCGCGGGAAAGCGGAGCCGUAACCCACACACACGACGAGAGCGGACCCCGGGUCCCACGGACUCAGGACGGCAAACCUACUUCCGUCCCGCCCUCGGCACACAGCUCUGUGCACACGUGUGGGUGUCUGUGUGUGUGUGUGCGUGACGGCAGUGGCACUGGCAUCCUCACAGCGUCACCCCCUCCAGGACGGCGCCUCGGGAACUCACCUCCCUCGACAGUCAGGUUUGCUGAGAGUUGGAUGGCAACCACUCACAAUGCGCUGCACGUGUUCCUGACUUUCUUACGUUUACUCAGUUCCUGGUUCGCCGUUUCACUGCUGUCCCUGCAGUGCCUGGCCCCAGCGGCCUCGGGGGUCCAGAGGCCGGUCUGUCUGUCUGUCUGCGUCCACGGCGCCGGCCUCUCGACUGUGGGGGGACACGUCAGGGCCGCACGUCGAACAGAGAGAGUGCGGGCUCAGGGGAGAGCGCCGGGGAACCGUCUGCAGGGAAACUCGGCAGAACGCCCGCCGGCCCCCAGCGUGGCCUCCCUUCCCGGGAGGCAUGGACGGGGUCUGUGGCUUCGGGCUCUGGGGGCUGCGGGGGCUGCGUGCCUGCAACGGAGGCCCUCGGCCGUGAGGAGCAGCUGUGCGGUGCAGCCCACCUCACCCCCGUCAGACGUACGUGAGGGGCACGGCUGGUCUGAACGGAACGAGUCGGCGUGAGAGCUCUCGGUGACACUAACACUCACCUCGAACCUCAGAGACGAGCUGAUACUUCGCAAGGAUACAACUUUCACUCAAACACGUGCACUUUAGAGAGCCUGUGGCUGCAAUGAAUGGCAAUAAAGGGAACCAAGGCUGGCGACUAUCUGGGUGGUCUCCCCGGGGCCCUGAGCCCAGCUCAGGCCUCACCCCUGGACGUGAUGCAGGGCAGGGCAGGGCAGGGCAGGGCGGCACAGGGUCCCUCCCACCCCACCCCUGUGAACGGCCUGGUGGCUGUGCCCUCAGGGACAGCAGCAAGGCCACC